CCUGCUCGGCCCCAAACCGCUCUGGACAGUGGACGCCCCGCACGCCGCCGGCAAGGCAACCAACUUCUUUUUCCCCUCGCCGCCCGGAACCUUCCGCUCCCCUCCCGCCACGCGGCCCGCCGCCAUGGACACGACCAUCGGCUCGGUCCCCGCGGCCGCGGACGCCACCCCGCCCGCCCCGUCGGCGUCGGCCCCGAGGGAGGCGACGCUGGGCCGGCACCUCGCGCGGCGGCUCGCCGAGGUGGGCGCCCGCGACGUGUUCGCCGUGCCGGGGGACUUCAACCUCACGCUCCUCGACGAGCUGGAGGCCGAGUCGGGCUCCACGGGGGUGCGCCUCGUGGGCUGCUGCAACGAGCUCAACGCGGCGUACGCCGCCGACGGGUACGCCCGGGCGCGCGGCGGCGGCGUCGGCGCCUGCGCCGUCACGUUCACCGUCGGCGGGCUCAGCGCCAUCAACGCCGUCGCGGGGGCCUUCAGCGAGAACCUCCCCGUCGUGUGCAUCGUCGGGGGCCCCAACAGCAACGACUACGGGAGCAACAGGAUCCUGCACCACACCAUCGGCCUGCCGGAUUUCACGCAGGAGCUCAGGUGCUUCCAGAACGUCACGUGCUACCAGGCUGUGGUGAACAACUUGGAAGAUGCACAUGAACAGAUUGACACUGCCAUCUCUACAGCAAUAAAGGAGAGCCGAGAGCAAGCCUGUUUACAUUAGCAUCAGUUGCAACCUCCCUUCAAUCCCGCAUCCCACCUUCAGCCGUCAUCCUGUCCCUUUCUUCCUCUCCCCAAGGCUAUCGAACCAGAUGAACCUGGAGGCAGCAGUGGAAGCCGCAGCAGCAUUCUUGAACAAAGCUGUGAAGCCAGUGCUUGUUGGUGGACCAAAGAUGAGGGUAUCCAAAGCAUGCAAAGCCUUUGUAGAGCUGGCAGAUGCCUGCGGCUAUCCCGUUGCGGUGAUGCCUUCUGCAAAGGGGCUUGUGCCAGAGCACCACUCGAGGUUUAUCGGCACAUACUGGGGCGCUGUGAGCACUCCAUUCUGUGCUGAGAUCGUUGAGUCUGCCGAUGCCUAUCUAUUUGCUGGUCCCAUAUUCAACGACUACAGCUCGGUUGGAUACUCGCUGCUCCUGAAGAAGGAAAAGGCCAUCAUUGUCCAACCAGAACGGGUGGUUAUUGGACAUGGCCCUGCAUUUGGGUGUGUUCUGAUGAAGGAUUUCCUGCAUGCACUUGCAACCCGUCUGAAGAAGAAUACUGCUGCAUAUGAGAACUAUUGUAGAAUUUAUGUGCCUCCAGGCGAGCCUCAUCCAUCUGAACCUGGAGAGCCAUUGAGAGUGAACAUACUCUUCAAGCAUAUUCAGGCAAUGCUGUCUAGCAACUCGGCUAUCAUUGCAGAGACUGGGGAUUCGUGGUUUAACUGCCAGAAGCUGAAGCUACCAGAAGGCUGUGGGUACGAAUUUCAGAUGCAGUAUGGAUCGAUUGGCUGGUCAGUGGGUGCAACUCUAGGAUAUGCACAGGCUGCUAAGGAUAAGCGUGUCAUUGCAUGCAUUGGAGAUGGCAGCUUUCAGGUGACGGCACAAGAAGUGUCAACGAUGCUCCGAUGGGGGCAUAACAGCAUCAUCUUUCUGAUAAACAAUGGAGGAUACACAAUUGAGGUGGAGAUCCAUGAUGGUCCUUACAACAUUAUCAAGAAUUGGAACUACACUGGUUUGGUGGAAGCAUUCCACAAUGGCGAGGGCAAGUGCUACACAGCAAAGGUUCGAACUGAGGAGGAGCUGAAGGAGGCAUUGAAGGAAGCUCUGGGACCUAAGAAGGACUGCUUAUGCUUUAUAGAGGUCAUCGUGCACAAGGAUGACACCAGCAAAGAGCUUCUCGAGUGGGGAUCCAGGGUUUCUGCGGCAAAUAGCCGUCCACCAAAUCCUCAGUGAGUACAUCAGGCAUCCGAAAUUGCGCUGGAAACCGAUCCUCAUAUGUCCAUAUUUAGAAGUCUUGGGGAGAAGACGCUGUCGAUCUCUGAAUAAACUCUCCCUGUAACUGUAAUUCACUGAUGUUGCAAGUCUCGUGGUUACUUCACAUAUUUCAGAAAUUGAUAUUGUAUAGUUCAUUGCUGCCAAUAAAUCUGAAAUCAAUUUUUGUUGUUCUUAGCUAA